UACGGGGGGGGCAAGCGUUGUUCGGAAUUACUGGGCGUAAAGGGCUCGUAGGCGGCCAACUAAGUCGGAUGUGAAAUCCCCAGGCUUAACUUGGGAACUGCAUCCGAUACUGGAUGGCUUGAAUCCGGGAGAGGAUGCGGAAUUCCAGGUGUAGCGGUGAAAUGCGUAGAUAUCGUGAGGAAGACCAGUGGCGAAGGCGGAUCUCUGGACAGCUCCUGACGCUGAGGCGCGAAGGCUAGGGGAGCAAACGGG
rnacentral:rRNA from 1 species